UACGUAGGUGGCAAGCGUUAUCCGGAAUUAUUGGGCGUAAAGCGCGCGCAGGUGGUUUCUUAAGUCAGAUGUGAAAGCCCCGGGCUUAACCUGGGAACUGCGUUUGAAACUGGGAGACUUGAGUGUGGCAGAGGGGGGUGGAAUUCCACGUGUAGCAGUGAAAUGCGUAGAUAUGUGGAGGAACACCGAUGGCGAAGGCAGCCCCCUGGGUUAACACUGACGCUCAUGCACGAAAGCGUGGGGAGCAAACAGG
rnacentral:rRNA from 1 species